rnacentral:lncRNA from 1 species
GCUGCAAGGUAUAUUGGUGCAAUAUGGGUUUUUAUUUAUUUUUAUUAGUUCUUAUAGUUAUUUAGGUCAAAAAACAAACAGAGAUUUGAUUCAUUGUUCUCAGGUGGAUGAGCUGCAAAAAGAGGGUCACCUCUCUUUCAGACUCUCCUCUGUGUCCUUAGAGACAAACAUGAUCCUACACAACAUUCAGAGAAUCAUUCAGGUUUGAAUACAAGGAUACUUUUAUUAAUUAUAAGGAUCUUUUUGUAACGUUUAGAUACAAAUAAGUAGCCUUUUAAAUGCCAUCUGUGUUUUAGGAGAGUAUGUGUCUGAAAAAGGAGGUUCUGGAGAAGAGUUCUCAGGUGGAGGAACAGAACCACAAAAUAGAAAAGAAUAAGAGGUGUGUUCAACCCUUUUCUUCACACUCCAAUUUCCUGCGUUCCAGUCAAAUCAAAGGCAAAAAAAACCUUCUAAAAGCAGGGGAUCCUGUAUGAUGACACACAACCAAUUGGUUUACUCUGUGAGUGCAGGUAUAUGGAGCAGCAACACAGCCAGACUUGCCGGCUUCAGGCUGAGCAGGAAAAGGUUCAUUUGUCGGGAGAAUUGGGUUCCUCCGCCACACAAGCACAUCAGCUGCAGCAGGAGGUGCUCAAUCUCCAGCAGAAGGCAGAGAAGCAGAAGUGCAAACAGAUGGAGGACAUCAUACAAAACACGGAUGAGGAGAUGCAAGAUCUGAGGGCUGAAAAGGAGAAUCUGGAUCAGGUGUGUAUGAUAUGAGUGUAUACAAAGCUUUUAACCUGUCUAAUUUAAUGCUCGAAUAAGAGUAUUCAAGCAUCAUCCAGUUUUCUCUGGCAGAUCCUGUCAGACAGGAAGAGGAAGUGGCAGGUAGAGCAGGUAGACGGAGAAUGCCUUUAAUCUUGUAUUUACAUUCAUUUGAAAUAUUUUAGUAUGAAAAUCUAUAAGCAAAACAUCAGACGCUGUUCAGAUGAGGGGUUAAAAUCUCUUAUUUUGCUGUAGUAAAGUGUACUGAAACUGAGCUGGUGUAUCUGGUGCAGGUGAAGCGAUUGCUGAAUGGAGUGUUUCAGUCUCUCGGGACAGAGUUUGAUUCACAGGAAUCUUACAGCGGACACACGGUGCUUGAGAUUCUCCAAAACACCAUCAAGGUACUGUUCAACCAAUCAGGUUCAGUUAUACAAUGAUUUCAGGUUUAGCUGACGCCUGCUUUUCCAAUGCAGAGUAUCACCGUGAAACUUCUCUCAGAACCUUGGGAGCUUGAAUCAGGCAUAGAUGAAGAUAAAGUAGAGGAAGAGUACUUGUCAACUGAGGAGUGUCUGCAAAUCAAAAACAUGAAGAAGGAAAACAAUGAAAUAGUGGGAAAAGGCCAACAUUAAAAAGGAAGCAUUUAUGCUGUAGAUCAGAACACCUGCAUAUUGCAGUCUGUUCUACCAUAAGCAUUGGUUCACAUACUGAGAUCCUGAAAGGGGAAUUGCUACUGU